AUCCAGAUGUAGAACUCUCAGAU
rnacentral:piRNA from 1 species